CAGUAGCCGCGGUAAAACAGAGGGUGCAAGCGUUAAUCGGAUUUACUGGGCGUAAAGGGUGCGUAGGCGGUUUGGCAAGUCUUGUGUGAAAUCUUCGGGCUCAACCCGAAGCCUGCACGAGAAACUACCGGGCUUGAGUAUUGGAGAGGUGAGUGGAAUUUCCGGUGUAGCGGUGAAAUGCGUAGAUAUCGGAAGGAACACCUGUGGCGAAAGCGGCUCACUGGACAAUAACUGACGCUGAUGCACGAAAGCGUGGGGAGCGAACAGGAUUAGAUACCCGGGUAGUCCCUGUCCUUAUACA
rnacentral:rRNA from 1 species